rnacentral:rRNA from 1 species
CGAGCACGCGCGUGUGGCAUAUCAAUAAGCGGAGGAAAAGAAACUAACAAGGAUUCCCCUAGUAACGGCGAGUGAAGCGGGAAGAGCUCAAAUUUGAAAUCUUCAAGGUUUUACCUUGACGAAUUGUAGUUUAAAGAAGUGUUUUCGGUUAGAGGAGUAGUAAAAGUUCUUUGGAAUAGGACAUCAUAGAGGGUGAGAAUCCCGUAUUUGACUAUUCUUUCUAGCUUUGUGAUACACUUUCAACGAGUCGGAUUGUUUGGGAAUGCAGUCCAAAAUGGGUGGUAAAUUUCAUCUAAAGCUAAAUAUUGGCGAGAGACCGAUAGCGAACAAGUACCGUGAGGGAAAGAUGAAAAGAACUUUGAAAAGAGAGUUAAACAGUACGUGAAAUUGUCAAAAGGGAAGCGUUUGACACCAGUGUUGUUUUUCCGAAAAUCAAUUACGAAUGUUUUAUUUUUGAGAAGUUAUGACUUCAUCGGCUUGCUUCUCUCUUUAUGAAACUUUCUUAAUGCACUUUUCGGUUAACAAGUCAACAUCAAUUUCUUUUGUUGUAAAAGGGUAUGAGGAAGGUGGCUUUCUUUUCGGAGGAAGUGUUUAUAGCCUUGUACCUCUGCAAUCGGAGAGAUUGAGGUCUGCAGCGUAGAUCCUUCGGGGUUAGAUACAUUUGUGCUAAGUUAUAGCUUUUCAUAGACAACUUGUUGACUAUGUUUAGUCUUGUAGCUUACUCGCUUACUGCUAUUUUACCUACGCUUAGGAUGUUGAUGUGAUACUGCGAGCA